UUGUUUUUGACACUAGAUCCUUGUUCCCUAGUGUUUUUUGAGUCUAGGUUUCAAAUUUUGUUUAAUUUAGAGUUGUAGAAGUGAAGUUACCAUUGAAGGGUUUCAAGCUUUUCAAACUUUUCAAAUUUUGAAAGUGGGUCUUUUGAUUGAGGAGAAAUUGGAGGUUAAUAAUUAGUGGGCUUUGUUCUCUUAGUUGAAGGGAAGAAAAUCCUAAAUUUUGAGUCAAUUUCGAGUUGAUUUGAGUGUAUUGGGGUUUAGUGUGUGUUCUUGG
rnacentral:lncRNA from 1 species